rnacentral:lncRNA from 1 species
CUAAGAAGGAAAAAAAGGAGCAAAAUGUAGGGUGUGGCGAAAGUAAGAUUAUAUUCUCUUUGUUCCACUGGGCUAUCUCGGUCAAGGAGGGACAAGUUGGACAAACUGAAAUCAGUGUACAGCAAGUGGGGACGACAGGCAAGAAGCGCGCUCGCAAGGCCCCCCAUUCCGGGAGAGGAAAGCUCCACUUUCCAGAAAGCGCCCUUCAUCGUCUCGCUGAUGAGAUUCUGUAUCUGCACACGGAACAUCGUCACGCCGCCUCGAUUUCCCAGUUCUCUGCCCCUCAGCCCUGGAGCAGCCCUUCUGAGUCGAACUGAGCGCCAAACUGAGGACUUGGCCACUCAAUACUCUUCAGCAGGUCGCCCGUUGUGACUCUGUACCAAGAGACAGGGGUGUGAGCUUGAACUGCUUCUCGCUGAAUCGACCGGGAAACUCAAUCAAAGGACGGGAUUCUCCCAGCAGAGAGGCUGGUGCCCAAGGGCACGUGCCCCAGGACUGGGCUGCCUCCGGGGCACCGAGCACAGACGAGGGCCGGGCGGCCGCGGAGCCGCGCGUGG